AGCAUCCAAGCUGUUACAUCUGGUGAUACCCCAUAUACAUCAGCUGCUACAUUUGAAGAUUUGAACCUGUCACCAGAGCUGUUGAAGGGAUUGUAUGUGGAAAUGAAAUUCCAGAAACCUAGCAAAAUUCAAGCUAUAAGUCUUCCAAUGAUCUUGACUCCUCCAUACAAAGAUUUGAUAGCUCAGGCACAUAAUGGUUCUGGUAAGACCACUUGUUUCGUGCUUGGCAUGUUGAGUCGCAUCAAUCCAAAUGUGAAAAGACCUCAGGCACUUUGCAUUUGUCCU
rnacentral:misc_RNA from 1 species